CAACUACUCCCUCUGUCCCAAAUUUCUUGUCUUAGAUUUGUCUAGAUACGGAUGUAUCUAAUACUAAAAUGUGACUUGAUACAUCCGUAUCUAGGCAAAUCUAAGACAAGAAAUUUUGGGACGGAGGGAGUACUUU
rnacentral:pre_miRNA from 1 species